rnacentral:rRNA from 1 species
AGGCUGAAACUACGCCUACAUGAAGCUGGAGUUACUAGUAAUCGCAGAUCAGAAUGCUGCGGUGAAUGCGUUCCCGGGUCUUGUACACACCGCCCGUCACACCACGGAAGUUGGGGGCGCCCGAAGCCACUUAGCUAACCCUUUUGGGAAGCGAGUGUCGAAGGUGAAAUCAAUAACUGGGGUGAAGUCGUAACAAGGUAAC